AUUGAGCGCUGGCGGCAUGCCUUACACAUGCAAGUCGAACGGUAACAGGUCUUCGGAUGCUGACGAGUGGCGAACGGGUGAGUAAUACAUCGGAACGUGCCCGAUCGUGGGGGAUAACGCAGCGAAAGCUGUGCUAAUACCGCAUACGAUCUACGGAUGAAAGCGGGGGAUCUUCGGACCUCGCGCGGACGGAGCGGCCGAUGGCAGAUUAGGUAGUUGGUGGGGUAAAGGCUUACCAAGCCUACGAUCUGUAGCUGGUCUGAGAGGACGACCAGCCACGCUGGGACUGAGACACGGCCCAGACUCCUACGGGAGGCAGCAGUGGGGAAUUUUGGACAAUGGGCGAAAGCCUGAUCCAGCAAUGCCGCGUGCAGGAAGAAGGCCUUCGGGUUGUAAACUGCUUUUGUACGGAACGAAAAGGAUCUCUCUAAUACAGGGGUCUGAUGACGGUACCGUAAGAAUAAGCACCGGCUAACUACGUGCCAGCCGCCGCCGUAACAC
rnacentral:rRNA from 1 species